rnacentral:rRNA from 1 species
CUAAAGUAUUAAAGGUAACGCCUGCCCAGUGAUAAAUUAAACGGCCGCGGGAUCCUCCACCGUGCAAAGGUAGCAUAAUCACUUGUCCCCUAAAUAGUGACUAGUAUGAAUGGCCAAAUGAAGAUUUUACUGUCUCUUAUAGCCGAUCUAUGAAACUAAUUUAUCAGUACAAAAGCUGAUAUAUUUACAUAAGACGAAAAGACCCUGUGGAACUUUAAGCAUAACCCACCACAAUGGCCCACCUGCUUUUAGUUGGGGCAACUUUGGAAAAAAACAAAACUUCCAAUAAAAUUAAAGAUUGACAAAUCUAUAUCAUUACAUCCGACCCAAUAUAUAUUGAUCAAAGAACCAAGCUACCCCAGGGAUAACAGCGCCAUCCCCUCCUAGAGCCCAAAUCGACGAGCGGGGUUUACGACCUCGAUGUUGGAUCAGGGCCCCCAAACAGUGCAACAGCUGUUAAUGGUUUGUUUGUUCAACAAUUAAAGCCCUACGUGAUCUGAGCUA